CCCAAAUGAUCCAUCAAGGCCAAGGCAUCCGUCGCCAUGAUUGCCGUCCUGCCAGAUACAAAAGAACACGUUUGAAAACAAAUGCUCGCCCAUUUUUUUACAUGAGCGCGUGAACUGAACGUGAUGGAAGAUAUGAUUCCCCCCUUCUUUCUUCCCCGUCACUCGUUUUUCUCGUGGAAAAAACUAUUGUGGCAGAAAGGGAGCGAAAUGUGGGAUUUUUCUCGUCGAAAGCUACAUGCAGCUGAUGUCGUCCACCAAAUCCCCGUGUACGGUCCUUCUGAAUCGCAAGGCGAGGAAGCAAGCAAUCCUGCGACACCUAACGAACGGAACGGCCCACCGAUCGUUGCAACCGACGACGACGAGGGAGGAUUUGGAUCUGUUGGAGGAGGAGGGGGAUACUCACGAGUAGUAGGAUUUGUUCGGGGG
rnacentral:misc_RNA from 1 species